UACGGAGGGUGCGAGCGUUGUCCGGAAUCACUGGGCGUAAAGGGCGCGUAGGCGGCGCGGGUAGUCGUCGGUGAAAGCUCAGGCUCAACCCUGAGUCGGCCGGUGAUACUCCCCGUGCUCGAGCACUGUAGAGGCAGGUGGAAUUCCGGGUGUAGCGGUGGAAUGGCGUAGAGAUCCGGAAGAACACCGGUGGCGAAAGCGG
rnacentral:rRNA from 1 species